AGUCGAGCGAAUGGAUUGAGAGCUUGCUCUCAAGAAGUUAGCGGCGGCAGGGUGAGUAACACGUGGGUAACCUGCCCAUAAGACUGGGAUAACUCCGGGAAACCGGGGCUAAUACCGGAUAACAUUUUGAACCGCAUGGUUCGAAAUUGAAAGGCGGCUUCGGCUGUCACUUAUGGAUGGACCCGCGUCGCAUUAGCUAGUUGGUGAGGUAACGGCUCACCAAGGCAACGAUGCGUAGCCGACCUGAGAGGGUGAUCGGCCACACUGGGACUGAGACACGGCCCAGACUCCUACGGGAGGCAGCAGUAGGGAAUCUUCCGCAAUGGACGAAAGUCUGACGGAGCAACGCCGCGUGAGUGAUGAAGGCUUUCGGGUCGUAAAACUCUGUUGUUAGGGAAGAACAAGUGCUAGUUGAAUAAGCUGGCACCUUGACGGUACCUAACCAGAAAGCCACGGCUAACUACGUGCCAGCAGCCGCGGUAAUACGUAGGUGGCAAGCGUUAUCCGGAAUUAUUGGGCGUAAAGCGCGCGCAGGUGGUUUCUUAAGUCUGAUGUGAAAGCCCACGGCUCAACCGUGGAGGGUCAUUGGAAACUGGGAGACUUGAGUGCAGAAGAGGAAAGUGGAAUUCCAUGUGUAGCGGUGAAAUGCGUAGAGAUAUGGAGGAACACCAGUGGCGAA
rnacentral:rRNA from 1 species